rnacentral:rRNA from 1 species
UACGUAGGGGGCAAGCGUUGUCCGGAGUUACUGGGCGUAAAGCGCACGCAGGCGGUCUUUUAAGUUUGGAGUGACAGUUGGUGGCUUAACUGCCAAAGUGCUUCGAAAACUGACAGACUUGAGGGCUUCAGAGGGACACGGAAUUCCGGGUGGAGUGGUGAAAUGCGUAGAGAUCCGGAGGAACACCAAAGGCGAAGGCGGUCUGCUGGGCAGUUUCUGACACUGAGGCGCGACAGCGUGGGGAGCAAACAGG